rnacentral:tRNA from 1 species
UUUGUCUUGGCAGAAUAAGUGCAUUAAAUUUAGAAUUUAAAUAUAUGGAAAACUUCCAUAGACAAAA